rnacentral:ncRNA from 1 species
CACCGAGCGAGACAUGUUAGCGAUGCCUUGCGAGAGGGAAUCCGGUGAGAAUCCGGAACUGUCCCGCAGCGGUAUGCAGGAACGACCGCCGUCAACAGCACUGGUCGCACGACUGGGAAGCGACGGCCACUAGGAGCACCACACAGGUGCGCGCCUGCGAGUCCGAAGACCUGCCAGCCGUGCCGGACGCGC